rnacentral:lncRNA from 1 species
AAGGAAUAGUGCUUCCAUUUCUUUUUCUUUUUUCUUUUUUUUUUUUUUUUUUGAGACAGAGUCUUGCUCUGUCAGCCAGGCUGGAGUGCAGUGGUAGGAUCGGCCUAGUGCUUCCAUUUCUAGGGGCUGUUAUCCUGUACUGGUAGUCGUGAAUUCAAAAAUAUAACUUUCCUACUGUGGGCUGCAGUAUUCUCAUCAGAAGUGUAGAUCACGAUGCUACUUCCUG